UACGUAGGGUGCGAGCGUUAAUCGGAAUUACUGGGCGUAAAGCGUGCGCAGGCGGUGCUGUAAGACCGAUGUGAAAUCCCCGGGCUUAACCUGGGAAUUGCGUUGGAGACUGCAAGGCUUGAAUCUGGCAGAGGGGGGUAGAAUUCCACGUGUAGCAGUGAAAUGCGUAGAGAUGUGGAGGAACACCGAUGGCGAAGGCAGCCCCCCUGGGUCAAGAUUGACGCUCAUGCACGAAAGCGUGGGGAGCAAACAGG
rnacentral:rRNA from 1 species